AUGCGCCCGAUGACGAGGCCUCUGCCGCCGGCCGUCGUGAUCUGUGCCUUGGGCGCACCGUCCACGGCCGUGCUGACGCAAUUACCGAGGUACUCUUCCAGGCUUAAUCCACGUGUGGUAGUCAAUGACGAAGAGGAAUUAGGUAUGAUCGCCGUUGCUUGCUGCGCUGUCGUGUUUAGCUUGGCAGUAGGAGGACCAGAUGAAGUCGAAGGUGGCCGCAAUCGUGGAGCGUCACCACGAUGUUGCUACGGCCUCACCGGCAGCGAUAACGACACCAUUCUUGGCGUGGCGAUGUAUAUCUACCUUGGAUGGCAUGAAGUUGGCUAG
rnacentral:rRNA from 1 species